CUUUAGAGUUUGGAUCCUGGCUCAGGAUGAACGCUGGCGGCGUGCUUAACACAUGCAAGUCGAACGAUGAAGCCCAGCUUGCUGGGUGGAUUAGUGGCGAACGGGUGAGUAACACGUGAGUAACCUGCCCUUGACUCUGGGAUAAGCCUGGGAAACUGGGUCUAAUACCGGAUAGGAACGUCCACCGCAUGGUGGUUGUUGGAAAGAUUUAUCGGUCAUGGAUGGACUCGCGGCCUAUCAGCUUGUUGGUGAGGUAAUGGCUCACCAAGGCGACGACGGGUAGCCGGCCUGAGAGGGUGACCGGCCACACUGGGACUGAGACACGGCCCAGACUCCUACGGGAGGCAGCAGUGGGGAAUAUUGCACAAUGGGCGAAAGCCUGAUGCAGCGACGCCGCGUGAGGGAUGACGGCCUUCGGGUUGUAAACCUCUUUCAGUAGGGAAGAAGCGAAAG
rnacentral:rRNA from 1 species